GGAGAACUCAGUAUCUGUGACUACAAGGAUUGUCUCAAGGCAUAUCAUCCACCAUGUGUGGAAAGAGACAGUUCGUUCUUGGAGGCUGAAGGGCGCUGGCUGUGUGGAGGCUUCUUGCGUCACAGUUAUUCUGAAGUUAAUGUAUGUGUUUAGUUGUUA